AGGAGGAGGAAGAGGAGGAGGAGGAGGAGGAGGUGGGUUAGUGGCACGCUGGGUGUGUUCAAGAAAGUCUUAUUCUUGGAGACACGAACAGUCUUAUUUUUUAGUUAUAUUAAGUAUUAAAAAAAUGCAACUUUUGUGCAUUUUAGAUAAAUCUAGUCGGUUUAGGUAACUAACUGGCUCUUUCUUCUCUUUUGAGCAUGAUUUUAAACCAGGUUUUGUACAGUAACGUUAGCUGAAUCGUGCCACCGACCUGUCCGGUAAUUAGGUCAGCUGAAGAAAAGGUUCCAGUGAAAGUAGCAGAGUGGACCUGGAUGUGCAUGGUCUACUGGAGUGAAAGCCAGUUCAGGUGAACGACAUCUACCUUAAGCUCUCAACUGGUUUGUCUUUGUUCUAAGUUGUUCAUUGCCAAAUAAAUACAAAUUGUGAAGCAAAGUUUGUUUUUGUGUUGUUUUUUUUAAUGGAUGGUGGAAUAUCAUUGGGCGAAAUGAGGUUUUACAACAUCUUGUUGUUGUUUGUUGUUGUUAUCACUAGACUUUACCUGCUCAUUACAGGUGUACUGGAAUCACAUAUUUAUAGUCACAGCAGUAGAAAGCAAUUGCAUUUACUCAAAUACUAAAUAAAUAUAUAGAGGUACUACAAUACUCUUACUAUUCAGAAGGAAAUAUUGCACUUACUCAAUAUCAAUCUGUAUAACAACCAGCA